GUCGGGUUCUAUUCCCAUCAAUCCGGGAAGCCAGCAUCCUAGGCUGCUUUAGGUCUGCGCAGCGUUCUGGAUUCGAGCCACAGGGAGAGUCCUAGGAGAGAAAUGUUGCUGCCAAGGAAGAUGUCGCCCUAGCUGUUUAUUUCCUCAUGGGCUGAAGGCUUUCUCAUGCAAUUGAACAGACGCCUUCAAGUCUCAGGCUUAAUGCACUCUACAGUUUGCCCAGUGCUUUUGGAUUGUGUGGACACACUGGCCUUCGCAGUGAUAACCCACGACCAGACCAGAACAGUCCAGUGAAAGCCUUUGGGUGAAUAUGGAUGUGUCUGUACUAAUGAUCCAUUGAUCACUAGAGAUAAUUUCUGGUGAAAACACUAAAAUGCUAUCAAGUGUGGGACAAAGUGUCUGGAGUCUGAGUUACAAGGUGUUCCUACGAGGGAGUGACGUGUCUGCCACAGCCAUCUUUGACAGAGCUCGGACACAGAUCACAAAGUUAAAGCGACCUGCCACAAUUAACCACUAUCAACUGCGUGGGGUCCAUAGGUGCGUUGAACAGAUGACCUGACAGAAUCGCAUCAAUUCAGAUAUUCUUGUUACACAAAAGUGGGAUCUUUUCUACAUCCAAAUAUUUCACUCACUAAGUUGUGAUGUGAUUUUAAAAGAGGGAGAUUUUAAAGUGGGUGUCAAUUUAAUCUCAGCUUGCAAAAAUAUAAAGAUUACUUAAAUCGA